rnacentral:rRNA from 1 species
CCUACGGGAGGCAGCAGUAGGGAAUCUUGGACAAUGGGCGCAAGCCUGAUCCAGCCAUGCCGCGUGAGUGAAGAAGGCCUUAGGGUCGUAAAGCUCUUUCGCCUGUGAUGAUAAUGACAGUAGCAGGUAAAGAAACCCCGGCUAACUCCGUGCCAGCAGCCGCGGUAAUACGGAGGGGGUUAGCGUUGUUCGGAAUUACUGGGCGUAAAGCGCGCGUAGGCGGAUUGGAAAGUUAGAGGUGAAAUCCCGGGGCUCAACCCCGGAACGGCCUUUAAAACUCCCAGUCUAGAGUUCGAGAGAGGUGAGUGGAAUUCCAAGUGUAGAGGUGAAAUUCGUAGAUAUUUGGAGGAACACCAGUGGCGAAGGCGGCUCACUGGCUCGAUACUGACGCUGAGGUGCGAAAGUGUGGGGAGCAAACAGGAUUAGAUACCCUGGUAGUCCACACCGUAAACGAUGAACGCCAGUCGUCGGAUAGUAUACUAUUCGGUGACACACCUAACGGAUUAAGCAUUCCGCCUGGGGAGUACGGUCGCAAGAUUAAAACUCAAAGGAAUUGACGG